rnacentral:lncRNA from 1 species
CGCCGCCAGCCUCCAGGUGAGUUUUGUUAAUUUCUUUAGUUUAGUUUGGUAGGCUUUAAGUUUGUUUAGUUUCUUUAAUUUCAGUUUCAAUAUUGUAGUUAAUGAUAGUUUUUAAGUUUUUUUUAUAAUUUCUAGUUUUGAUUGUAUUUAUAAAUUUAUAAUUGAAUAAAUUUUAUUUUUUUAAUUUCUAGUUUUACUCUCAAAAUCUCAAUGUCUUCGGGUAAGUCGUGUAUCAUCAUCAACGGGGGAUGAUGAUGAGGGGAUCCGGCUAGAAAAUAUGGGACACCGAAUCCAAACAAUCCUUAUGCGUGGACUUGUCAAUUUUGUCUAAAAGUGACAAAUGGAGGAGCAUUUCCAUGAAACAACAUUAGUGGGUGGUUAUAGGAAUGCAAAGAAAAGAAAUUCCUAAGGCUCCGGAACAUGUUCGAGUAGAAGUGAAUGCUUAUAUGAUGAAGAAAGCAACUAGCAAAGUGAUGAAGCAUUUUGCUAAAAUCCACCUCAAUGUGUUGAAGAUGUUGAUGAUGAAGAAGAGGAUGAAGAGAUGGAAAUUGGAGGUAGCUCACGCACCAUGACGAGUAAGAAGGCCCCGGCUCCAAAGAGGAUGAAAGGUCCUUUAGAUGUUUAUCUUGCUUGUAGCCAACCUAGUUCUCAAACUCAUGAAGUAUUGAAGGGAAGAAAAGAAAGAAAAGAGUCUUUGGCUAGUGACAAGUUAUGUAGGGAAAGAGCUUGUAAAGCAAUUGCAAGGUUCUUUUAUGACAAUGCUAUUCCUUUCCAUCCGGCACUGUGAUAGUUUCAAGAACAUGGUUGAAGAAAUUGGACAAUAUGGUCCCGGAUUGGAACCACCGAGCAUGUAUGAGCUAAGAGUUCUUUUCUUCAAAAGGAAGUGGAAGACACGGACACAAAGUGUUGGAGUUCAAGAAAGAAUGGGCCACAAAGGAUGUUCUAUUUUAUCCGAUGGAUGGCGUGAUUCGGUGGUGCAAAAGGAUAUUGUGAACUUCCUUGUCAAUUCUCCAAAAGGGUCCGUGUUCAUCAAAUCGGUGGAAGUAUCCGAAGUUGUGAAAGAUGCAAUCACUUUGUUUCAAAUGCUUGAUUCUAUUGUUGAGGAAGUUGGAGAGGCAAAUGUUGUGCAAGUGGUGACGGAUAAUGCAUCUAACUAUGUCAAAGCGGUAAGAAAUUUAAAUCAUCUUCAAUUUUAUACAAUCACUUAUAUUUUCUUAAGUAUUAAAGCUUUUAAUCUUUUAUGAUAGGGAAAUUGCUUAUGACAAAAAGACCACAUCUUUAUUGGACUCCAUGUGCCGCACAUUGCGUGACUUAAUGUUGGAGGAUAUUGGAAAGCUUCCAAAGAUCAAGAAUGCCCUCAAGAAGGCGAUCUUCAUGAAUGGUUAUAUAUAUAACCACGUCGCCGUUGUCAACAUGAUGAGAAGAUUCACAAAUCAAAGGAAUGUGCAUCGACCGGCGGUCACAAGGUUUGCAACUUCCUUUAUCACUCUUGCACAAUAUCAUAAGCAAAAGAACAACUUGAGGAAGAUGGUGACUUCGGAAGAGUGGAAUGCUUCAAAGUGGGCAAAGGAAGCGGGGGGAAAGAAGGUGACAGCUUAUAUUUUGCAAGACACAUUUUGGAGAAUGUGUUUAUGCUCUUAAGUUGGGAGGUCCUCUUGUGACGGACUUCGGAUGGUUGUGGGGAUAAAAAACCGGCUAUGGGGUACAUUUAUGAAGCUAUGGAUAGAGCUAAGGAGGCUAUUGCUAAGAGUUUUGGUCACAAGGAGGAGCAUUACAAAGAAGCGUUUGGGAUCAUUGAUAAAAGAUGGGAUUGCCAACUUCACCGUCCUUUACAUGCGGCUGGAUACUUUCUUAAUCCGGAAAUCUAUUAUGAUAAUCCGGAUCAAGUGAGUUGCCAAGAGAUUGAGCAAUGCUUGUAUGAAUGCAUUCAAAGGUUGAUUCCCGAUGAAGCAACUCAAGACAAGAUCAUGGUUGAGUUCGAUGCCUACAAAAAUGCAGAUGGUCUAUUUGGCAAUGCAAUGACAAUUAGACAUAGAAAGGUCAAAUCACCAGGUAACAUUUUAUAUUUGAAAAUCUAAUUAAGUGUUGAAUUAAUUAAUGUUUCAUAUUCUAACAAACCGUCAUUUUUAAAAUGUCUAUAGCGGAUUGGUGGUCUUGUUAUGGAUCUUCAAGUCCCAACCUCAAAUCAUUUGCGAUAAAAGUUCUUAGCCUCACUUGUAGUGCUACUGGAUGUGAGAGAAAUUGGAGUGUCUUUGAUCAUGUAAGCUAUUAUUUUAUUUUACUUUGACUAUAAUACAUAAAUAUGAUUUUAACCUAUUAUCUUUUAUAUUUUUAUAGCUUCAUACCAAGAAGAGAAACCGAUUGGCACAAGAUCGGCUCAAUAAAUUGGUUUAUGUGAAGUAUAAUCGCACUUUGGAAAGGCGAUACAAGAGGAAAGACACAAUAGAUCCUAUUCUAUUAGAAGAGAUUGAUGAUAGCAAUGAAUGGUUGGUUGGACAUAUGGAUGGGGAAUCUUCUAAUGAAGAUGAUCUUGUGUUUGAGGAUGGUGAUUUGACAUGGAAUGUCGUUAGUAAGGCUUCGGGAGCUAAUGAUCUUAUUUAUAGCACUAGACGGGCAUCUAGAGUUGAUAAAGGAAAGAGUGUAGUUGCUUCGAGUUCGAGAAGGCUUUUAGAUGAGGAUGAAGAUGCGGAUGAGGAGAGGGAAGUGAAUGAGAUGGAAGAGGACAUUGGUGAAGACAAAGAUGAUGGAGAUGGGGAUGACGCAUUUGAGGAUGAUGGACUUGAGGAUGAUGAUUAUUGAUUACUUGUUUGAUAUUUGAUCGUACUUUUAGACUUGCGUAUUUUAAAACUUAAGUAUUUGUGUGUUUUGGAUUAAGUAUUUGUGUGUUUUGGAUUAAGUAUAUGUGUGUUUAAGUACUAUUUGUGGUUUUAAGUUGUGUUUUUGGUAUAAAAUAUAAUGUAGGUAAAUAUAUUAGAAUUUUUUAGGCUUUACUGCGCCUCGCCUACGAAAAGCCCGCGCCUGCGCUUAAAGCCCUGCGCCUAGGCUCCGAGGCAUGUUUGCGCCUCGUGCGCCUCGGGCUUUUUAAAACCCAGU